rnacentral:tRNA from 1 species
UAAAAGCUAGUUUAAUAUAAAACUCCUAGUUUCGACCUAGCCAAUUUUGGGCAACAACCAAAGCUUUUAUU